CUGAAAGCAUCUAAGCGGGAAACCCACCUCAAAACGAGUAUUCCCUUGAGAACCGUGGAAGACGACCACGUUGAUAGGCCGGGUGUGGAAGUGCAGUAAUGCAUGUAGCUUACCGGUACUAAUCGUUCGAUUGGCUUGAUUGCUCUCAUUUU
rnacentral:rRNA from 1 species